rnacentral:rRNA from 1 species
UAGGGAAUCUUCCGCAAAUGGACGAAAGUCUGACGGAGCAACGCCGCGUGAGCGAAGAAGGUCUUCGGAUUGUAAAGCUCUGUUGUUAGGGAAGAACAAGUGCUGUUCGAAGAGGGCGGCACCGUGACGGUACCUAACGAGAAAGCCACGGCUAACUACGUG